rnacentral:rRNA from 1 species
UACGUAGGGGGCGAGCGUUGUCCGGAGUUAUUGGGCGUAAAGGGAGUGUAGGCGGUCUUUUAAGUCUUCUGUGAAAUCUACGGGCUUAGCCUGUAACGUGCAGAGGAAACUGGAAGGCUUGAGUGUCGGAGAGGAUAGGGGAAUACCCAGUGUAGAGGUGAAAUUCGUAGAGAUUGGGUGGAACACCAGUGGCGAAGGCGCCUAUCUGGCUGACAACUGACGCUGAGACUCGAAAGCAUGGGGAGCAAACAGG